rnacentral:rRNA from 1 species
UUACUGGGCUUAAAGAGUUCGUAGGUGGUUAAAAAAGUUGGUGGUGAAAUCCCAGAGCUUAACUCUGGAACUGCCAUCAAAACUUUUUAGCUAGAGUAUGAUAGAGGAAAGCAGAAUUUCUAGUGUAGAGGUGAAAUUCGUAGAUAUUAGAAAGAAUACCGAUUGCGAAGGCAGCUUUCUGGAUCAUUACUGACACUGAGGAACGAAAGCAUGGGUAGCGAAGAGGAUUAGAUACCCUCGUAGUCCAUGCCGUAAACGAUGUGUGUUAGACGUUGGAAAUUUAUUUUCAGUGUCGCAGCGAAAGCAAUAAACACACCGCCUGGGGAGUACGACCGCAAGGUUAAAACUCAAAUGAAUUGACGGGGACCCGCACAAGUAGUGGAGCAUGUGGUUUAAUUCGAAGAUACGCGCAGAACCUUACCAACACUUGACAUGUUCGUCGCGACUUUAAGAGAUUAAAGUUUUCGGUUCGGCCGGACGAAACACAGGUGCUGCAUGGCUGUCGUCAGCUCGUGUCGUGAGAUGUUGGGUUAAGUCCCGCAACGAGCGCAACCCUUACUUUUAGUUGCCAUCAUUUAGUUGGGCACUCUGAAAGAACUGCCAGUGAUAAGCUGGAGGAAGGUGGGGAUGACGUCAAGUCCUCAUGGCCCUUACGUGUUGGGCUACACACGUGCUACAAUGGUAUCCACAACAGGAUGCAAGACGGCGACGUUUAGCAAAUCCUAAAAAGAUACCUCAGUUCGGAUUGCACUCUGCAACUCGAGUGCAUGAAGCUGGAAUUACUAGUAAUCGUGGAUCAGCGUGCCACGGUGAAUGCGUUCCCGGGUCUUGUACACACCGCCCGUCACACCAUGGGAGUUGGUUCUACCUUAAGGCAAAGUUUAAAAACUUUGACCACGGUAUAGUCAGCGACUGGGGUGAAGUCGUA